rnacentral:lncRNA from 1 species
GUUAGUCUUAAAUUUAAAUGAAGAGCUACCAGGUAAGGUUUGAAUUCAAUCCUUCUGAUUUCUUUAAUAUUGGCCCUUUUGUUGGCUUUUGUUUUAUACUUCAAGUUCCUUAGGUUCAUGCUAACAUACUGACCUUUAAGUUGCAUUCUGAUGGCAAAACAGCUCUCAUCCAAAAGUUAUCAUUAGUUGUCAUAGAGGCACUGCAGCUCUUACCCAUUCCUGUCCUGAAUCUCACUGGGGUUCCCUCUCAGAUGCUGAAAAAUUGCACAGCUUAGAUCUAUUUUCAGAAGUCUAAAGGUUUGAAUCAAGGCAGAUUCAAAGUACAUAUUCAAAAAAUUCUAAAAGAAGCAGACAGCUCAAAAAAUCUCAAAUUCUAGAAAUUAGGUGCUCACUUACAGAGAGCCAUUCUUGGAAGCACUGCGGGACCACCCAUUGUCGGGGAGGUGUUCACUCUUCAUUAUCAUACUGCAUUAGAAAUGGGUUAUUUUUCUUUGCAGUAAUGAAACUGGUACUUCCAAGUCUUUUUUUAGAUGUUCAUAUUUUAGAGAAAUUCUUUUGGGUAUGGGAAACAAGGCAACCAAGGAAUGGAUUUGCUAUUGUAUAUUUAAUUGCUAUUUGUAUAUUUAAUAUCCUUCCUGGCCCAGGGUCUUCGGGUAAAUUGAUGUAUUGUGUGUAAGGUGGUGUUUGGAAAUGACAACAAUAAGCUAAUAAGAAGUGGAGUGAACAAGUCUUAAUUCCUAUUCCUAUUUUUAUUUUGCUCUGUUAUUUUGCAUUGCAUUUUGCAGUGUUAGCCUGCCUGCCUCGUUCGUCAACUGUACACAUGGAGAGAUCUUUAUUGCAUUUCUUUCCUACCUCUCCUUAGGUCAUGAGGGAUUUCCUGUCCUGGAAUUAUUCUCCAUUCAAUGAGUAUUUAUUAAUUUAAACAUAAUUUCCCUUUAGUAACAGAAAGAACAGGGGCCAGGGUUGGGGAAGGACUAAAUAAGAAAUCAAACACUUGAAUCCCUAAAACUGUCCAAGGGUAUAUUGUUACUUGUAGCAUAGAAAGUGAUGGGUGAUGACUUUCUGCAUCCUAGCAUUUGAUUGAAUUAAAAUUUGAUGCUUAUAUAUAACAUAUGAAUAAUACAUUGUGUUUUCCCUGACCUUUGCCAUUUAUGAUUUAUAGCUUAUUGCUGGCUGAGAUUUCUGCAUUUUUCAUAGAACUGUAAACUUAUCAAAUACUGCAGUUUUCUUAGAAAUCAGCACAUUCAUUUUGCUCACUUAAAAAGUUUGAUGGCUGAGACACGAAGGAUUUCUGAGUUGUUGGACAGGUCAGCCCAGGACCAGGGCCAUGUUUCAUGAUGCUGAGGCCACUGUGCUGGGUACCUCAUUUCCUUGUUUCUGUAGUGCUUGUUGUUUUUACUUCCAUGAAACUUUAUUCUUAUCCCAGUUGUUUCAAGUUUUAGUUUUAUAAUGAAUUAUAAUUGGUUAUAGGUUUAUUCUUUUAUUCCAUGAAUGUUAAUUUUCUAAUCAUGCCAUAUAAUGUGUAUGAUGUACAUACUAUAGACAUCUUCAUAUAAUUUCAUGUUAUGCUGACUUAUCAUUUAGUUAAGAUUAGAAAUCUGGUUUAUGAAUGAGUACCUUUGUAACUAGAUUUAUAUGCUAAUGUAAAUGUAAAUAAUCCAGGUCAUUAAUAGUUUGCAACUAAUAUGUAACUCAGGAUAUUUUGGAUAAGCAUGUAACUGUAGCUACCUCUGUGUUCAGUACAUUAUAUAAAUAUAGACGACAACACGCUGAUUGGCCUCCAUAUGGAGAAAUAACAAUAUUCAAGUGGAUGUGUUUGUCUUGGACAUUGAGUUCUGAAUGCCCAAACUGAAGUUGGUUGAGAAAACAAAAGAUGAGGAAGUAAAUUAACUGAAAGCAUCUCAUAAGGGAUCAAGUAAAUCAUCAAGGAAAAUCAUGUAGAUAACAGCCAUCCAGAGUUUAUACAAUGUUACUUCUGUUUUUCUUUUCAGAUUCUAAGACCAUUUUAUUUAACAUAGUCAUCCUGCAUAUCGGUGGGGUUUGCAUCCAUGGAUUCAAUAAACUGUAGAUUGAAAACAU